CAAGCUUCGGUUUGGAUUUGACUGAUAAUUUUCUGCAUUUUAGAGAGAAGGCAGCAAUGCUGAGCUUUGCCUUAAGGCAGCUGUUCCUAGUCAAGAUUUCAUGUUGUUCUGAAGCAGGCAUAGCCCUUUCUUCCCACAAUCCCACCGAGACCUCUGGAAAAACAGAAGACAAAAGGAGACUGUGUUCCCUGUCAAGUGACAAUUAAUUCCACCGCCUGCUUAUUUUGAAGACUGGCCGCAAAGUCGAAUUCCUGCACUCUCCAUGGCUGCUCCUGCAGCAGCCACAGGGACAUGGUUCAGGAGGCUCCUCCCCAGUGCAGCUGGGUUGGCAUGAAUCCCUUGUGCCGAAUGUGAAUGAAGCACAGCAGCGAAGUGUCAGUGUGAAAUGAUAUUUCUGCUGUAGCUGCAUGCCCAUGUAAUCUAGUUUCAAAUGUUUUUUUUUUUUUUUUUUUUCCUGAUUGCAGUUUGACCCCUUCCCAUUUUCUUAUUAUAUAAUUUUGGUCUGGAGAUCUGAAGAGGUUAGUUAGCUGUUUUUUGCAAGGCUAUUAUUUGCUUAUAUUUUAGAUAUGCGUUAGACAUAGGUAAAGAUCUGAGUUAGGAUUG
rnacentral:lncRNA from 1 species